UAUACAUGCAAGUCGAGCGGACAGAUGGGAGCUUGCUCCCUGAUGUUAGCGGCGGACGGGUGAGUAACACGUGGGUAACCUGCCUGUAAGACUGGGAUAACUCCGGGAAACCGGGGCUAAUACCGGAUGGUUGUUUGAACCGCAUGGUUCAGACAUAAAAGGUGGCUUCGGCUACCACUUACAGAUGGACCCGCGGCGCAUUAGCUAGUUGGUGAGGUAACGGCUCACCAAGGCGACGAUGCGUAGCCGACCUGAGAGGGUGAUCGGCCACACUGGGACUGAGACACGGCCCAGACUCCUACGGGAGGCAGCAGUAGGGAAUCUUCCGCAAUGGACGAAAGUCUGACGGAGCAACGCCGCGUGAGUGAUGAAGGUUUUCGGAUCGUAAAGCUCUGUUGUUAGGGAAGAACAAGUGCCGUUCAAAUAGGGCGGCACCUUGACGGUACCUAACCAGAAAGCCACGGCUAACUACGUGCCAGCAGCCGCGGUAAUACGUAGGUGGCAAGCGUUGUCCGGAAUUAUUGGGCGUAAAGGGCUCGCAGGCGGUUUCUUAAGUCUGAUGUGAAAGCCCCCGGCUCAACCGGGGAGGGUCAUUGGAAACUGGGGAACUUGAGUGCAGAAGAGGAGAGUGGAAUUCCACGUGUAGCGGUGAAAUGCGUAGAGAUGUGGAGGAACACCAGUGGCGAAGGCGACUCUCUGGUCUGUAACUGACGCUGAGGAGCGAAAGCGUGGGGAGCGAACAGGAUUAGAUACCCUGGUAGUCCACGCCGUA
rnacentral:rRNA from 1 species